rnacentral:rRNA from 1 species
UACAAGUAGUCAGAGCCCGUUAAUGGGUGAUGGCGUGCCUUUUGUAGAAUGAACCGGCGAGUUACGAUUUGAUGCAAGGUUAAGCAGUAAAUGUGGAGCCGUAGCGAAAGCGAGUCUGAAUAGGGCGUUUAGUAUUUGGUCGUAGACCCGAAACCAGGUGAUCUACCCUUGGUCAGGUUGAAGUUCAGGUAACACUGAAUGGAGGACCGAACCGACUUACGUUGAAAAGUGAGCGGAUGAACUGAGGGUAGCGGAGAAAUUCCAAUCGAACCUGGAGAUAGCUGGUUCUCUCCGAAAUAGCUUUAGGGCUAGCCUCAAGUGAUGAUUAUUGGAGGUAGAGCACUGUUUGGACGAGGGGCCCCUCUCGGGUUACCGAAUUCAGACAAACUCCGAAUGCCAAUUAAUUUAACUUGGGAGUC